GGUGCCGGAGGACGGCGGGCGCUGCGGGGUGGGGGGAAGCAGGAGCCCCCCGCGGCCCAUGGGCAGCCCCGCUAUGUCAGCCGGGAGGCAGAGAGCAGUCCUGCUGCCGUGGGGGUGUGCCUGGCGCCCGACUACGAGAACGUCUUCGUCGGCUCCUGCGCGGCCCCCGGCGCGGCCCCGGUGCAGAAUGGGGAGCGUGGGUGGCAGCAGGAGGGGUACAGCCCCCAGGCACCGCCGGACGAUCUCUAUUUCCUGGAGAGCGACGCAGGGGAGCAGCCCAUCUACGCCAACACCGGGACCCCCGGAGAGGACAUCUACGUCACCCCCGACCCAUGAGGGCGGCGCGCCGGGGGGGUUCCUGCAGCGCUGGGACUGCGGAGGGGAUUUUCCUCUUUUUUUUUUUUUCUUUUCUUUUUUUUUUUCUGCAAUGAGAGCAAAACGGCUGCGCGGCCGUUUCCUGCGCGGGGCUGAGAGCGGAAGCGGCCGCUUCUCCAUGGGGUUCGCACUGCGAAACGGGGCCGGGGCGGCGGGGCACGGCGGCCCCCACGGGUCGCUCCGGAGCUCCGCGUGACGCCGGGACCGACGGCGCCGCCCUCUGCGAAACCCGACGGUUUGGGGCGAAAAGCGCCGUUUUGGGGCGCUCCUGGCAAUGUGCGGCUGCGAGGAGGCGGCUCCGGGAUGUGUGUGGGUGGUGGUACGGGGACAGCCCCCGUCCCAGCCUCGUCCUUGCGAUGCUCCGCGGUGACAUUAAAUGCUGGGCUGUCCUCGGUGACCCAGAGGGCUCGCGGUCCGUCGGAACCCCCGGAGGGGCUCUGUGGGGUGCUGGGGGGGUCCUAUUCCCAGAGCAGAGGUGCUGAUAAUGUGGGUCCCACACUGGCAGGUUCCUAUUUCCCAGUCCCCUAAGCCCACGUCCCCACCAUGGUGACCCCAUGUCCCACAUCCAUUGAGCUGUGGUCCCCAGAGCCCACAGCCCCGGGCUGGAGCCCCCCCUGUCCCACAUCCCCGUGUCCCCACGUUCCAUAUCUCAGUGUCCCCACAUUCCCACACGUCCCACUUCCCCACGUCCACCACUUCCAAAUCCCCGUGUCCCAAUGUCUCCAUGUCUCAUGUCCCACAUCCCCAUGUCCCUGUGUCUCUGUAUCUCAUAUCUCAUCCCUGUCCCAUGUCCCCCAUUCCCAUGCCCCGUAUUCUCAUAUGUCACAUCCUCAUGUCCCCAUCCCCCUGUCCCACGCCCCCCUGUCGCAUAUCCCCAAGUAUCAUGUCCCCCAUUCCCCAUAUCCCCAAGUAUCAUGUCCCCAUGUCCCCCCAUCCUAUGUCUCGUGUCCCCAUCCCCCUGCCCCAUGUCCCCCCGUCCCGUGUCUCCAUGCCCCCCAUGUCCCAUAUCCUCACGUCCCCAUCCCUCUGCCCCACAUCCCCAUCUCACGUCCCACAUCCCCUGGCUGUGGGUACUGAUAGCUGACAGUGCCACAUCCCCGCUGUGCUCAGGGCUGUCCCAGCGCCCACCCCAAGGACACAAUGGGGCAAAGUGCUGCUGGAGCACUGCCCACAUAUGACUCACCUGUGGGUGAUGGAUGGGGAUGGGGGGGGGACGUGGCCGCAUGGGGCAGAGCUGCUGGCAUUGCGUUCCCAUCACUUUAUUCAUUUACAUCUCCAUUUGAUUUGUAGAAAUAUAUAAAUAUACAAAAAGAAAAAAAAAAGAAUCCCAACAAAGCCGUACAAUGCAAUAAAUAGUGAGUAAUAAAUAAAGGACUGUAUAAAAAA